rnacentral:rRNA from 1 species
GAUGAACGCUGGCGGCGUGCCUAAUACAUGCAAGUCGAGCGAACAGACGAGGAGCUUGCUCCUCUGACGUUAGCGGCGGACGGGUGAGUAACACGUGGAUAACCUACCUAUAAGACUGGGAUAACUUCGGGAAACCGGAGCUAAUACCGGAUAAUAUAUUGAACCGCAUGGUUCAAUAGUGAAAGACGGUUUUGCUGUCACUUAUAGAUGGAUCCGCGCCGCAUUAGCUAGUUGGUAAGGUAACGGCUUACCAAGGCAACGAUGCGUAGCCGACCUGAGAGGGUGAUCGGCCACACUGGAACUGAGACACGGUCCAGACUCCUACGGGAGGCAGCAGUAGGGAAUCUUCCGCAAUGGGCGAAAGCCUGACGGAGCAACGCCGCGUGAGUGAUGAAGGUCUUCGGAUCGUAAAACUCUGUUAUUAGGGAAGAACAAAUGUGUAAGUAAUUAUGCACGUCUUGACGGUACCUAAUCAGAAAGCCACGUCUAACUACGUG